rnacentral:rRNA from 1 species
UACGUAGGGUGCGAGCGUUAAUCGGAAUUACUGGGCGUAAAGCGCUCGUAGGCGGUUUGUUGCGUCGGCUGUGAAAUCCCGAGGCUCAACCUCGGGUCUGCAGUCGAUACGAGCAAACUAGAGUGUUGCAGGGGAGACUGGAAUUCCUGGUGUAGCGGUGAAAUGCGCAGAUAUCAGGAGGAACACCGAUGGCGAAGGCAGGUCACUGGGCCGCAACUGACGCUGAGGAGCGAAAGCAUGGGGAGCGAACAGG